rnacentral:rRNA from 1 species
GCCAGACUCCUACGGGAGGCAGCAGUGGGGAAUAUUGCACAAUGGGGGAAACCCUGAUGCAGCGACGCCGCGUGAGCGAUGAAGUAUUUCGGUAUGUAAAGCUCUAUCAGCAGGGAAGAAGAUGACGGUACCUGACUAAGAAGCCCCGGCUAACUACGUGCCAGCAGCCGCGGUAAUACGUAGGGGGCAAGCGUUAUCCGGAUUUACUGGGUGUAAAGGGAGCGUAGACGGCGAUGCAAGCCAGAUGUGAAAGCCCGCGGCUCAACUGCGGUAGUGCAUUUGGAACUGUAUGGCUGGAGUGCAGGAGAGGCAGGCGGAAUUCCUAGUGUAGCGGUGAAAUGCGUAGAUAUUAGGAGGAACACCAGUGGCGAAGGCGGCCUGCUGGACUGUAACUGACGUUGAGGCUCGAAAGCGUGGGGAGCAAACAGGAUUAGAUACCCCGGUA